rnacentral:lncRNA from 13 species
AUGAUAGGGAAAAUAACUGCUACCCUUGAUUAUGAAGACAUAUUACUUAAGGUAACAUCAGCUGCUGUACCAGACAAAAGGAGAAAAUUUAAGGAGAUUUCUUCAUCGAAUGCAUUCUUCUCAGAAUGGCAUAUAUUUUUGGUCUGCUUGUUAACAUGACUCACACAAAGUGAGGCUGAGAAUCAAGGAUACAGACUUUUUAACAGACACUUAACAAGAAAAGCAUCGAAGUCCUGGGGGUCCUGUAAUUGUCUGGAAUGUUCUGAAUGUGAUUUUGUAGUGUUUCCUAGAGCUAGUUUAUAAGCCAAAUAAGACAAUCUAUGUAAUUAUUUUCUUGCUUAAGCCCUUUAUGGACCAAGACAGGGUUACUUGGCUUACUUAAUCCAUCACCUUGUUCAUUAGGCUUUUGUCUGCUUUAAGGAUGUAAUUUACUCUCAGUGGACAAAUAUUUUUUAUCACUGAAGAUAAAUGUCUAUCUGUCUGUCUCUUUCUCUAAUCUAUCUACCUGUUACUAUUUUUUGAGACUGUUUUGCUCUCCAGGCUGGAGUGCAGUGGCCUGAUCAUGGCUUGCUGUAGCCUCAACCUCUGGGGUUCAAGAAAUCUUCCCACCUCAGCCUCCCAAAUAGCUGGGACUCUAGGCACACCACCAUGCCAGCCUAAUUUUUUGUAUCUUUUGUAGAUACAAAAAGUAGUAUCUACAAAAGUAGAGACGAAAUUUUGCCAUGUGGCCCAGGCUUGUCUCGAACUCAUGAACUCAAGUGAGCCACCUGCCUUGGUCUCCCAAAGUGCUGCAAUUAUAAGAAUGAACCACUGCAUCUAGCCUAUCUACCUAACUAUUAAUCACCUAUUUCUAUGAAAAUACCUAAAAGCCUCCUAGGGUGAUUAGAGGUGCAGGGGCAGGAACAUUGCUUUGUAGUCAUGUGACAUUCAGCAUGACUAAUAUAGGCCUGAACUGAAUGAUGUUCGGUGACAUGGGGCAAGGGACUGGCUGCUGACUGUUGGG